GCGUAGGUUUCCACACAUUCAUCGUCGUUUAACUCAUGCGUAAUGUCUGUCACACGGAGUGCUGGUUACGUGCUAUAAUUAGAUCAUGUGGAAAACACAUUUUGGAAAACACCGUGUGCAAAAAAUGUGUACAAUAUGAAUAUUUAUGAGCUCCCGGUAUGCUUUGCGGUGACCUUCCCGGGAAUCGUUGAUUGUGAAGAUGGUACACACUUGUUGAAGACGGUCCGUACGGAAGUUACGUGAUCGAGAGUACCAAGCAACAUGCCCAGCAAACUUAAAGUGGUAUUAAAGAAUACACACGAUAAAGAAAAACAUGCUGAGCGAAUGCGAGUGGCCAGACAUGAAUGGUCGGAGGAGCAAAAGCAAAAAAACCGAGAAAUGUCCAAGAUCAGAAUGAGGGAAUACAGAGAAAGAAAAAAGACGGAGAGAGAAAAGACAAACAAUUCAGAAGUCCGAAAAAUGGCAACAAGACAAGAAAAAAAAGCAAAAGAAGAGCAAAAUAAAAGAAAAGCUGAAUACAGAAAGAAAUAUAGAGCUGGCUUGUCAAGCCAAAAGAAAAGGCGUAUACGAGAAAAAGAUGCAAAAAGAAAGCAAGAAAAGAGGUGCAAGAAUAUGAUAGGAGCAACGACUGUUGUCCAAUCAGUACCUAUCACAACUGAGAACACAAAGACCCCUUUGUCUGACAGUGCUUUAAAAAAGGCUGUCUACCGGGCUAAAAAGAGAUUGCCAAAGUCUCCAUCCAAAUUUGCAGAUGUUGUUUCUGGCCUUGUAAGCAAUGCCACACCAAGAAAAAAACUUGCUUUAAGCAAUAAAGGAUUGGAUUCCUCUGAAACAAAGAAAAACUUGGACAAUAUCCUGCAAUCUAUCAAAGAUGUGGACUUAGAUAUGAGAGGAAGGGACAGAGAGAGUCGUAUGAAAAGGAAGAGUUUUAUUGGGUCCCUCUCUGAACAUGUUAAGAAAAGACACGGAAUGACAUCAACUUUCAGCGCAGCACUUGGCAUACAAAGAAAGUACUUUUCACAAGGGUGUCUUAAAGAACAAAAGAAAAGAAAAGACUGCAUUGCUAAAGAAACAGAAGAGUCAAUCCAGAACUUUUUUUGUCAAGAUAAUGUGUCGACUAACUUACCAAACAAAAAAAACAUCAAGAAAGAUGCUGUAGAGUGUAGAGUUAUCCAAGGAUCACUUCACAGUGUAUGGAAUAAAUGGAAAGAAGCAAAUCCCAACAAAGCUAUUUCAUAUGACAAAUUCACCAAACUCAAGCCUAAGGUUGUUAAAACACAAAAACACAGAAAAUACCUGCAGUGUUUGUGUGAAUACUGCGAGAAUCUAAGAUUGAAGAUGGUAGCUAUCAACAAGCUUUCUCAAGAACAGAAGCCUACACUAAAAAUGAAAAGUAUCCAGGAGGCCGUGGAGAAGACUCUUUGCCCCAGGACUGGUCCAUUCCACAGCCUUAAAUGUAUUGACAGGGAAUGUGUAGACUGCGGAACCGGAAAACUGCAUGCAGACCUCAUUGCUGCAUUAGAAGAAAAAGACCAAGAAUGGAAAAAGUGGGCGCUACAAGUAUCGAUAAACAAAAGAAAUGGUAAAGAAAUAAAAAAGAAAGAACUCACAGUUAGUAAAGGAAAAACAUCAGAAUUGAUUGCUGAAUUUGAAAAAGAACUCCACUUCCUCUCCAAACACUUAUUUGAAGCCAAUUGGCAAAUUUCGCAGUUCGGAAUUCUGACCAAAAACAUUCCACCUGCAACAAUUGCUUUAGCUAUUGACUUUGCCGAGAACUACUCUUGCAUGUCUCAAAAUGAAGUACAAUCAGCACAUUGGUCAAAAGAAUCUGUUACAAUACAUCCCGCAGUUGUUUAUUAUCAAUGUCCCACCUGUCCAGGUGAAGUGGUGGAGGAGUGUUGCGAUAUCAUCAGCGAUGAUUUAAUACAUGAUGCCCAUGCUGUUAAUGCCUUUCUCCAUAGAAUAUUCCAACAUCUGAAAACUAAGAGAGGAUUGCAGGUCAAUAAAGCAUUCAUUAUGAGCGACGGUUGCGCGGCACAAUACAAGUCAAAAAUUCCAUUUUGUGACGCAGCGAACGCCAUCACUGAGUUUGGGUUUAUAGUGCAGCGCGACUUCUAUGGGUCCAGACAUGGGAAAAAUAGGUGUGAUGGGGAGGGGGGCGUUUUAAAAUCGAGGGUGACAAGGGCGGUCAAAAACGGCGAGGCUGAGAUUGUCUCAGCAUCAGACUUUUACACCUUUUGUAGGGACAACCUCGAAAAGGACUCCAAAGAUGAUAAUGGAAAGUGUCUACACAAGAGAAGGCAUCUUCUCUAUGUUGCAUUGGAAAACAUUCAAAGACCACGCCCUGAAAGAAACAUUCGCACCAUUCCAGGCACUCAAAAAAUCCAUUCACUGGUUGGCGUUGAAAGGGAAAUGGUUAAGACAAGGCGUCUGUCCUGUUUUUGCCAGAAUUGCCUAUAUGGUACACCCGAGAAUUGCCAGCAGAAGGAGUACAUAGAUCAAUGGAAGCCAAUUCGCCUGAAAUAUCUCCAACAACCACAACCAGCUGUUGAUGUCCAGCCCAUGGUACAACCUGUUGAUGUCCAGCCCAUGGUACAGCCUGUUGAUGUCCAGCCCAUGGUACAGCCUGUUGAUGUCCAGCCCAUGGUACAACCUGUUGAUGUCCAGCCCAUGGUACAGCCUGUUGAUGUCCAGCCCAUGGUACAACCUGUUGAUGUCCAGCCCAUGGUACAGCCUGUUGAUGUCCAGUCCAUGGUACAGCCUGUUGAUGUCCAGUCCAUGGUACAGCCUGUUGAUGUCCAACCCAUGGUACAGCCUGUUGAUGUCCAACCCAUGGUACAACCUGUUGACUUCCAUCAUGAAUUACAGCCACACGAUACCAUGGUUCUUGCCCAGUCUGUAGAAGAUAUUCAAGCCCAAUCAGUCCAUGACCAGACACAAGAUAGUAGGUCUGAAAGAAUAGAUUGCAGCCUAGAUGAAGACGAUAUGGACAUAUCAGGCCUUACUGGAAUUUUGGAUGCUUUAGAAGAGGAACCUGAAGAUAUGGCAUUAUCACCAAUCCUGACAUUUAUGGAGGAUGCUGUUGUUGCAGAAAAUGAUUGUUCUGAAGAAGAGAAAGCGCCACGGUUGAUAACUGGCCAUUUGUCCAUUAUUUUAAGAAGUGUACAAAGGGUUGGACUAUGCAAGACAUCCACCAUACCAUUAUUUUUGAAGACAUUGAUGGUACACUAAAAGCACCAGCAAUGGAAUCCCAGGGAAGGAGGAUAAUUUACAAAUUUGAAGAAUUAGAUUCCUAGCUCUUAGUCAUGAGCUGAAUGAAGUGAAGUAAAAAUUCAUUAAAGGUUUAGAAACACUGGAUACCUUGUCUGUAAACUUCAAGAGAGAAAGAAUGAAAAAUUAAAAGAUAGCAAAUAAAUAAUGUUAAUGUGAAGAACUGUCUUAUUUUUUAUAUUGAAAAUUGGCAAAAGCUUCGUGUCAAUCGAGUUCUAAACUGAAACUGAAACAACUGUUCAGUCACUUAACAAUCAGAUCUAACCAGAAUAAAUAUUCAAUGAAAUUUCUGUCAUGUUACAUGAAAUGUCUGUCAUGUUACAUGAUACGUCCGUCAAGUUACAUGAUUUGUCUGUCAGUGUUACAUGACAUUUUUUUCAACAAUGAAUAAAAACAAGAUUUCUAAUUUUAUUAUCUUUUAAAGUGUUUAUUCUUAAUCAGUAAACCUAGCUCACUCCAAAAAAGCAGAAAAAAUAGAAAAAUGUUUAUUUUGAAAAUUUUAUAUGUCUGUCCCAUAGAAUGUGAC